rnacentral:rRNA from 1 species
UACGUAGGGUGCGAGCGUUGUCCGGAAUUAUUGGGCGUAAAGAGCUUGUAGGCGGUCUGUCGCGUCUGCUGUGAAAAUCCGGGGCUCAACCCCGGACUUGCAGUGGGUACGGGCAGACUAGAGUGUGGUAGAGGAGACUGGAAUUCCUGGUGUAGCGGUGAAAUGCGCAGAUAUCAGGAGGAACACCGAUGGCGAAGGCAGGUCUCUGGGCCACUACUGACGCUGAGAAGCGAAAGCAUGGGGAGCGAACAGG